UCUGCUUCCCUCCCUGGCAGGGCUGCAACAGGAUGCGGUGGGGGCCCGGGUCUCAUCUCUCUUCCUCCCGGAGGGACUGAGAUUUUACUUUUAAAUAAUCGCUACACCCCCCGUGGGGCUCCAGGGGCUGGAACUCGCAACCCCAAGAUCUAGAGUCACAUGCUCUAUCGACCGAGCCAACCAGGUGCGCCCCCCCCCCCCACCCCCAGCCGGCUAAACUCACCAGCUCUGUCCACGUGAGCUCACCAAUGACAGUGCGGUACAAAAGCCAUGCAUCAGAGCAUCAUCCUUGACCAAACUCUACCGUGUCCCCUCUUGUGUUGAGUACCCCAGCCCAUAGCAGGUGCUGAAUAUAUACUGAAUGACUGAUUUUCCAAGAGUUUCCAUCUCAUCCUGCUCACCCUAAUACUCAAAUCCUGCGUGUCUUCCUCAAAACGUCCGUCAAGGAGAUGGGUAACAUGCUUAUUUUACAGGUGAGUGACUGAGGCACAAGGAGUUGAAGGUCGUGGGGGAGUCUCUGAGUGUCCAAAGAUGGGCAGCACAGG